rnacentral:lncRNA from 11 species
GUGCUAGGGCAGUUCCUAGUACUAACAAUUGCUCCAUAUUUUCAGGUCCCUGUUUUGAACCUAGAUAGGAUAUACUCUAAUCAGCUGCAGCAGCUUUUCGGGCUUAUUCCAGAGUUUGUGGUGAAAAUCUUAAGUAUAAAAAGAAUGAAGGCAAAUGGAAAACACUUGCUGUGAGCAACUGUUACACUCUCCCCUUUUCCUGGUAUACUACUCAAAUUAUCUUGCUGUUUUAAUCUGCUAAAAUUAAUUGUCUUGUAUAUCACUC